ACCGCGGUAAUUCCAGCUCCAAUAGCGUAUAUUAAAGUUGUUGCAGUUAAAAAGCUCGUAGUUGAACCUUGGGCCUGGCUGGCCGGUCCGCCUCACCGCGUGUACUGGUCCGGCCGGGCCUUUCCUUCUGGGGAGCCGCAUGCCCUUCACUGGGCGUGUCGGGGAACCAGGACUUUUACUUUGAAAAAAUUAGAGUGUUCAAAGCAGGCCUUUGCUCGAAUACAUUAGCAUGGAAUAAUAGAAUAGGACGUGCGGUCCUAUUUUGUUGGUUUCUAGGACCGCCGUAAUGAUUAAUAGGGAUAGUCGGGGGCAUCCGUAUUCAAUUGUCAGAGGUGAAAUUCUUGGAUUUAUUGAAGACGAACUACUGCGAAAGCAUUUGCCAAGGAUGUUUUCAUUAAUCAGUGAACGAAAGUUAGGGGAUCGAAGACGAUCAGAUACCGUCGUAGUCUUAACCAUAAACUAUGCCGACUAGGGAUCGGUGGAUGUUUCUAUUUUGACUCCAUCGGCACCUUACGAGAAAUCAAAGUUUUUGGGUUCUGGGGGGAGUAUGGUCGCAA
rnacentral:rRNA from 1 species